GUUCCUGUGGCGCAGUGGCUAGCGCGCCGUUCUUAUAUUCGAUCGUCAGAUCAAUAUGGCCUCAUUUGGUUAUGCGGAUGUCGUGGGUUCGACCCCCACCAGGAACA